rnacentral:rRNA from 1 species
UGGGGAAUAUUGGACAAUGGGCGGAAGCCUGAUCCAGCAACGCCGCGUGAGGGAUGACGGCCUUCGGGUUGUAAACCUCUUUCAGCACAGACGAAGCGCAAGUGACGGUAUGUGCAGAAGAAGGACCGGCCAACUACGUGCCAGCAGCCGCGGUAAUACGUAGGGUCCGAGCGUUGUCCGGAAUUAUUGGGCGUAAAGGGCUCGUAGGCGGUUUGUCGCGUCGGGAGUGAAAACACCGGGCUUAACUCGGUGCUUGCUUUCGAUACGGGCAGACUAGAGGCAUUCAGGGGAGAACGGAAUUCCUGGUGUAGCGGUGAAAUGCGCAGAUAUCAGGAGGAACACCGGUGGCGAAGGCGGUUCUCUGGGAAUGUCCUGACGCUGAGGAGCGAAAGUGUGGGGAGCGAACAGGAUUAGAUUCCCUGGUAGUCCACACCGUAAACGUUGGGCGCUAGGUGUGGGAUCCAUUCCACGGGUUCCGUGCCGCAGCUAACGCAUUAAGCGCCCCGCCUGGGGAGUACGGCCGCAAGGCUAAAACUUAAAGGAAUUGACGGGGUCAUAGCUGUUUCCU